rnacentral:rRNA from 1 species
GACGUAGGGUCCGAGCGUUGUCCGGAGUUACUGGGCGUAAAGCGCACGUAGGCGGCUUUCUAAGUCGGGGGUGAAAUCCUGGAGCUCAACUCCAGAACUGCCUUCGAUACUGGAGAGCUUGAGUCCGGGAGAGGUGAGUGGAACUGCGAGUGUAGAGGUGAAAUUCGUAGAUAUUCGGCAAGAACACCAGUGGCGAAGGCGGCUCACUGGCCCGGUACUGACGCUGAGGUGCGAAAGCGUGGGGAGCAAACAGGG